rnacentral:rRNA from 1 species
GGGCCAAGUUCCUUGGAACAGGACGCCCGAGAGGGUGAGAGCCCCGUACGCUCGGGACCCACCGCCGCUGAAAAGCUCCUUCGACGAGUCGAGUUGUUUGGGAAUGCAGCUCUAAGUGGGAGGUAUAUUUCUUCUAAAGCUAAAUACCGGCCAGAGACCGAUAGCGCACAAGUAGAGUGAUCGAAAGAUGAAAAGCACUUUGGAAAGAGAGUUAAAAAGCACGUGAAAUUGUUGAAAGGGAAGCUCUUGCUGUCAGACUUGUCGGGGUGGUUCAGCCGUCUCUAGGGGCGGUGUACUCCAUCGUUGGCGGGCCAGCAUCAGCUUCGACGGCCGGACAAAGGCCCCGGGAAUGUAGCUCUCUUCGGGGGGUGUUUUAGCCCGGGACGUAAUGCGGCCAGUCGGGGCUGAGGGAUGCGUUUUUCUGCUAGGAUGCUGGCGUAAUGGCAGCAAGCGACCCGUCUUGAAACACGGACCAAGGAGUCUAACAUCUGUGCGAGUGUUUGGGUGUUAAACCCAUGCGCGUAAUGAAAGUGAACGGAGGUGGGAACCCCGUAAAACGGGUGCACCAUCGACCGAUCCUGAUGUCUUCGGAUGGAUUUGAGUAAGAGCACAGCUGUUGGGACCCGAAAGAUGGUGAACUAUGCGUAGAUAGGGUGAAGCCAGAGGAAACUCUGGUGGAGGCUCGCAGCGGUUCUGACGUGCAAAUCGAUCGUCAAAUCUGCGUAUAGGGGCGAAAGACUAAUCGAACCAUGAACACUAUGAAAGACUACUAGGUGGUUAAGAGGCCGGCGGAUCUUCUAGGGGUUUAAACCCCUACAAGUACGCCUGGUCUAGUCCCGAGAGAACGGGGCCACGUCGACAAAUUGCGGGGACAUUCCUUCAAAAUAUAGAAGCUACUAAACCCAGCGGACUUGCGCCGGGUGGCCACGAUUAAAAGCCGUGGGUAUAGUAAAAAUGCCUCUAAUUAUGGGGACGAUCCGCAGCUGAGUCCCUACAACGGAGCGUCAAAGCCUCUACCGUUAUAGGGCCUGGUUCACAGACUAGACGUCGAUGGGUAGGUUACCGCGGGGGGUAACAAUGCUCAAGGUAUAGUCGGGUCUAUGGCCUAAUAAGCCGUAAAUUCGUUGGGGCGAAUG